rnacentral:ncRNA from 1 species
AUCCAUUUCAAUGUGGCCAUGGUGAUUGAGGAAAAAGUUAGGAAAUGUGAAGACAUUGUCGUGGGCCCCAAUAAGAUUUAUCUUUUAUUUUUAACGGAUUUCCCACCCUGAAAUUGGUUCAACUAGAAAUAGGAUCCAAUAUGGAAGAACACCGCACAUCUUGCGGUGUCUGGUGCUCCCUCGACAUCCAUUGAAAAUAUGGAGGACCGAGUACCAUCCAUGCCCAACCAUACUCAUAACCACAUCAAGUCUCCAAGGUGAACAACCUCUGGUCAAUAUAAUAAUGU